rnacentral:lncRNA from 1 species
AUGAUGUUUUCCCCUUCUUUGUUCCUCCAGAUAAUCCUAACCAGCUUUUGUAUGUACACAGAGCUGAGAGCUGUAACAACCCCUGUUUCACAGAUGAGAUCGCUGAGGCUCAGGAAGGGGAAAAGACCUUCCUCCCCGAGUGUGUGCAGCAGGAAGGCAGAGACCCUGCAUCUAAAGUCUCACUGCUCCCCGCUUGCUGCCUUCCUGCAGGGCCGGCCUGGAGACAGGAGCUGUCCCCUGAGUUCUCCUGUAUCCGAGUGUGUGCGUGUGUGUCUUUGCCGUGACACUGUCUCCAGGAGGCUUGACUUCUUUUCGUUCCUUCCCCCCCCCCCCUUUUUUUUUCUGUUCUCUUUGCCCCACACUGGCACAUCUGUGCGCGAAGAGAAGAUACGGUGUCCGGAGCUGCAGGAUCUGACCCCAGAGGCCCCGCCAGCUGCGUCUGUCCGGCUUGCUCUUCUGCUUGACCUGCUCUCCGGGGAGGCGCCGGGCUGUUUAGCCGCCGUAUCCCCUGGCAAUCUGUUCAGGAAAAUAGACCAGAAAGGGCUGCCGAGGGCUGCUCCAGCCUCAGAAUCCUGCUGCCAUCUAGGGAUGAGAUGGAGCUUCUUCCCGCGAGCAGGCGCCGCGAACGAUCUCCCGGGCCUCGGGCGAGGGAAGGCUCAGGGUCCCUUCAGCGUGGUCCCGGGCGCCCGCGGCUGGGUCCCAAGGAGAGCAGCCUCCCUCGCUCAGGGCUUGAGUCUCGGUACCCAGCCAAGGCCCCCGGGGCUAAGAACGGGCCACCGGGCGGCGCGGGGUCGGGGUGGGGGGUGGGCGAGAAGGCACAGCGCAAGAGGACGCACGGACCCACGUAGUGAGAGAGCAGCUGGGGCACGAGGAGCCGAAAGGCUGCUAGAAGAAAAACACAAAAAAAAAGGAAGGGAAGAGUUUGGAAGAAAGGGGCCAUCAGCGAAGCCAGACGGUGUCCUGUGUGUGUUUAUGGAACCUUGUCGCUGUCACCUCGCUGGCGUCCACGCGCCGAGCUUGAUGAGUUGCAAAGCAACAAGCUACUUUAUUUUCGACAUAAAAUUUUCAGGGGUUCCUCUUGCAAAGGGGGCUGGGCUAGGGUACAGGGGGGCAGAUCCUGCCUUUAGUAAAGACGGUGUAGAAAAUCCAGGAUGA